CUGCAUUUUACAUGACUGCGGGGCCUGUUCCUUGCGCCUGUCUGGUCGCGUCACAUCAUGGAGGGUUUCUCGGGGCGGCCGGCCGCCUCUGAGCACAGCCAGGGUGGUGUUUGCAGCACAGCUGCUGCCUAGGCCUCGCUGCGGAGGUGCUGGGCCACGGCCCCGUGGAGGCAGAGCCGCAGGGCCAUCGACAUGUCCUUUGAAAACGGGCAUUUCCCCAACUCAUGCAGGUGGAGGGGAGAGCGAAGCCAAAUGGGACACCGGCCCCCACACACUGCCCCGGCUCCUGCAUUUCCGGAGAUGGAAACCUGGAGAGCAGCUGGGAUCUUGAAAACGUGGGUUGGACUGCGUCACCCCGACCCCUGCCUCAAAGCCCCUCCGUGGUUGCCUACAGCACAGCUUGAAGCCCCUUGGUUCUGCUUCCCGGGCCUGCAGCGCUGGCCCCAGCCUGGCCGAGCGAGCAUUUGUUCACCCAAGACCUUUCCCCUCCUGCCCUCGUGGAGCCUCCACAAGGAGUAAACAACCACUUCUGGUCCCUCAAAGCAUCAACUCUGUGCCUUGCAGACAGCGGACACGUAACACAGCCACGCGGCGUGAACAUGAGCAGACUUCUUUUUUCCAGGAUGUGCACGGUUUCCACGACAAUGCCCACUGCACGCCUUAUGGCCUCACCAGAGACGUAAAGCAGAUGCCAAGAAACUUCCCCCCAAAAUGGGCUGGCUUGCCAAGCCCAGGACCGCCUGUCCAGCUGGGGCUGGGGGCAAGGAUCCCAUUUUCUGUGACUCUCUUUGCUCUGAUGGUCAGGUUCACCGGCCGUACGUGUAAUCUGAAGCAUUCGGUAGCGAUCUA
rnacentral:lncRNA from 1 species